GGGACAUGUUGAAAUAAGGACAUGGUGCAACUCUGAGGGUUUGGCCAUGGUCAGACUCUGCUCUAUAAAAAUGUCAUUCCCUUCAGACUGUACUCACUGCAACAGCAGCUUGCAGUGAGAAGAAAUCUGAGUCAGCAUCUGUUAGACGUCCUUCUUCACCACAGCAGGUAAAGUACAAGGAAAUAACCUCAGUACAGAGCUGAAAUGAUGAACCAAAGGAGACUCCCCCUCUGUUCCUCACUGUCAUCCUCUGCCUCUCACCAUGGCCCACCUCUGGAGACACGUGCACCAAUGACUGCAUUGAAAUAUUACACCUCCCAUUAUGAUAAGCAGUGUUAUGACGGCUGUGAAGAGCGAGGGUACGACUACCACUGGUGCCACUCCACAAAGGGGUGGGAUUACUGCUCCCAAGAAAAGAUGUUGAUUACAAAGGCAACGCCUGUGAUGAAGACUAUCCCUGUAACAAAUAUGGAGGAGAUUAUUACUCGUGUCGCCUGAAGAAAGGAGGCUGGGGCAGAUGUGGCCGAGUGGAGUCAAAGACAACGAUUCAUCAAACCAUAAAGCUGAAGGACUGCACUGAUGACUGUCAGUAUUAUGAGUCUGGGAAGUACUUCUGGUGCCACACUGUAGAUGGCUGGGACUACUGCUCUUCUAAUCCAGACCACACCUACAAAGACGUGACCUGUCGCCCAAAUCACAAGUGUGGAGCCUAUGGCCAAACUUACAGCUGGUGCUACACAACAGACAAGAAUAACUGGGAUUACUGUGGACUCAUCAGUACUACAGAGUGUGAAUGUUCCCCACAACACCGCAGCAAACGGGCACCUCCUCAAAGAGAAAUCGAGAGGAGGGGGACCAGAAUGGGAAACAGUAAUGAGCAAAUUAACAUGAAGCAUGAAUCUCUGCAUUAGCAAACAUUAUGUCUUUAUCAGUUGCUGAAUGAGUCAUUCAGAACCAGAUGUUUCAUCAGAUAAUGAGCUUGCAUUAUUCUAUUUUCAUUAUUUUGCUGACUUUGUGAAAAAAAAAAAACCUUUGUACCGUGACAUUUCUGAAGAUUACUCUUUUCCAGAUAUAACUGUAAGUAUAUGGCCAUUUCUUAAGUCAAUCAGCUCCUAAUUAACUAAGCCUUGAUUCUGUUUUCUUUUAAAUGUGAUUUCAUAUCUUCUUAAGGUCUAGUUUUUAUAUAUAUCCAUGGCUCUGUGAAGAAUGGCUUCGUAUCUAAACAGUGAUAUAUAAAUAAAGCUGCCUUGCUGAAGCACAUUACAAUACUGGUCAUCAGAUUAAAACUGUGUAAUUGUACUUUGAAUCAGUGUCCAAAGUCAAUAUACUGUAAAAACAGAAAUAUGCUUGAUAUGCAAUAAACAUGACAAGUUUGGAAAACAAAUAUCAA